GCUCUGGCUGCCGGUGCUGCAGACGUCGCGGCGGCUGCCGCGCGUUGUGCCCGUGCGCAGCAGGAGGGAACGGUGGGAGCCGUUUCCCCUCGGCAGUUAAACCCCGGGCCGGCGGGGCCGGGCCAGUGUCUGCGGGUGGGGAUCUGCGAGGACGGGUCCGCGGCCCCUCUCCGGGGUUGCUUAGCGGGCCUGGCUUGGAGGUGCAAACGCUGGCUUGAAGCUAUAGGCUUGAUGGCCGGGCGUGCCAGACUUCUCGGAGCGGGGGAUCCGGAGCAGGCCGUCCGGGAGAACCGCAGUUUCUGUCAGCAAAAGUGAAUGCUGUGUCCUCUGCGCUGCUGUUGCCCCUUCAGAGAGCUUCCUUGGGAUCUGCUGAAACCAGGGAAGAAGGGGAAUGGAUGCGCUGCUUUGGCUCCCCUUGUGCCUGUAGCCCAUAAAUAAGAGUUAACAAAAGCCUCCACCAGCUAGCAGUUUCAAAUUUAAAACCAAUGUCGGGGCUUUUUUUCUUAAGUUCCAGGUGGUUAAGCUGUCAGUCAGAACCGUUGUUAUAUACAUGAGUAUGGCACUGAGUCCAUGUAUAACAAGACUCAAUGGACAGGUUUUCUUAGAAAGGAGUGAUUGGGAUGUGAACUCUGCCAUUCCUGUGGUGCCAGCAGAGUUACUCAUGUAGGAUGCUACCUCGUGCAUGGGCAGAGGGAGCUCCUUUUCCCUUCACUCUCAGGUCCUUUUGUGCCUGAUUACAAUUAGGGUUUGUGAUAACAUGUGGCAGUUUUCACCAGAAGUGUUUUACUCUGGUAAACAUUUUUCUGUAUUGGGAUAACUUCCUGCCUUGCUGAGUUGUUUACUCUUAUCUGGGGUUAUGACAUUGGGUGUGCUGCCGGUUUGCUGAAAUUCUGACUUCAUCCUGAAAAAUAUUUAUUGGACUUCACUUACCAGUUGAGAAAUACUUUGUGGCAUCUCUUCAGGGAGAGAUCUGUCAGCCUCUGUGGCUGACUUGAAACUAAAAGCUGUGUUUACUUGCUUCUGAAUUAUAUAAUUUCCAGUUGUUCCUUAAAGAAGGGGAGAAAAAUGAUUGUUGCUGCAAAGCUAGCAUUUCCUCCAUCUACUGGUUUCAUUUCUUCACCUCUGCGGUUUCACAUUCCUAACUGUCCCAUCCCAUAUGUUUUCUCC
ensembl:lncRNA